AUCGCUUCUCGGCCUUUUGGCUAAGAUCAAGUGUAGUAUCUGUUCUUAUCAGUUUAUCUGAUACGUCCUCAUCCGAGGACAAUAUAUUAAAUGGAUUUUGGAGCAGGGAGAUGGAAUAGGAGCUUGCUCCGUCCACUCCACGCAUCGACCUGGUAUUGCAGUACCUCCAGGAACGGUGCACCCCCU
rnacentral:snRNA from 1 species